rnacentral:rRNA from 1 species
UCCGUAGGUGAACCUGCGGAAGGAUCAUUACCUUUCAAUGCAGCAGAAUGGGGAUGGUUGAGUUUCUCGCCUCUCUGUUCUGCCUGUAUUCUACCCUUGUUUGUCAUAUACUAUUAUUUCCUCGGCAGGCUUGCUUGCCGAGUGAAACCAAUUAUAACCUAUUUAAUUUUCAAUCAGCGUCUGAACAAAAUUAAUAAUUACAACUUUCAACAACGGAUCUCUUGGUUCUGGCAUCGAUGAAGAACGCAGCGAAAUGCGAUAAGUAGUGUGAAUUGCAGAAUUCAGUGAAUCAUCGAAUCUUUGAACGCACAUUGCGCCCUGUAUUCCAUGGGCAUGCCUGUUCGAGCGUCAUUUGUACCUUCAAGCUUUGCUUGGUGUUGGGUGUUUGUCCUGAGGGACUCGCCUUAAAGUAAUUGGCAGCCAGUGUUUGGUUUUGAAGCGCAGCACAAUUUGCGAUCCAAGCCCAUGAAUACUAGCAACCAUCAAGCCCAUUUUUAACGCUUGACCUCGGAUCAGGUAGGGAUACCCGCUGAACUUAA